rnacentral:lncRNA from 1 species
AUUGGGUUUAUAAGAGACUUAGACAUUAGUAAUAAUAACUGGACUUAAGCAUUUUGGGCCGGUGGUUGGGUCUAACGAGUUAUUGUUGCUAGUGGGCUGGGUCGUUACAUUUGGUAUCAGAGCCGGUUCACCAGCUGGACAUGUGUGGCGAGUCUCGGCUGAGCCAGGGUUUGGAUGAUGGGCUAGCGAGACGAGUCUCACAUCGCCUGGUGAUCUUGGGCUGUGUGUGUGAUUGGACUGACGAGGACGUCGGGUCCUUAAUGGUGGGAGUUUGUGACACUCCAAUAAUCCCACAUCGGAUGAGAAUGGGGUUGUCAUUGGGUUUAUAAGAGACUUAGACACUAGUAAUAAUAACUGGACUUAAGCAUUUUGGGCUGGUUGUUGGGUCCAAUGAGUUAUUGUUGCUAGUGGGCUGGGUCGUUACAAAAUCACUUCAGCAAAAAAAUUUGCCAAACAGCUUUCUAAAAUCACUUUAGCACAAUCACUUUUCUAUCAAACUCAGCCAAACGCUCUACAGCUUUUAACAGAAAUCAUUUUUCCAAACUAAAAUCACUUCUGCAGAAAUCACUUUUCUAGAAGCUAGGCCAAACGGGCCCCAGUAACAUCUAUAG